rnacentral:lncRNA from 1 species
CAUUGUCCUAAUCUUUAGGGUUCAUCAUAAUCUUAAACAUAAUAAGACGUAGCUAAUAUAAUAAAUCAAUAUCUCAUUUUAUUAUCAAAUAAUAAAUAUCAUUACAUAAGUUAAAAAAUUAUAAAAAAAAGUUCCAUCGUAACACACUUGCAAUUGACUUAUAGGGUACUCUUUUUUUACAUACCUCAAUGCAGGGUCUAAUAGAAAGUAGA